UACGUAGGGAGCAAGCGUUGUCCGGAAUCAUUGGGCGUAAAGCGCGCGUAGGUGGCCAUGUAAGUCCGCUGUGAAAGUCAAAGGCUCAACCUUUGAAAGCCGGUGGAUACUGCAUGGCUAGAGUACGGAAGAGGCGAGUGGAAUUCCUGGUGUAGCGGUGGAAUGCGCAGAUAUCAGGAGGAACACCGAUGGCGAAGGCAGGUCUCUGGGCAUUAACUGACGCUGAGGAGCGAAAGCAUGGGGAGCGAACAGG
rnacentral:rRNA from 1 species